rnacentral:rRNA from 1 species
UACGGAGGGGGCUAGCGUUGUUCGGAAUUACUGGGCGUAAAGCGCACGUAGGCGGCUUUGUAAGUUAGAGGUGAAAGCCCGGGGCUCAACCCCGGAAUUGCCUUUAAGACUGCAUCGCUAGAAUUGCGGAGAGGUGAGUGGAAUUCCGAGUGUAGCGGUGAAAUGCGUAGAUAUUGGGAGGAACACCAGCGGCGAAGGCGGCACUCUGGGCCGGUACUGACGCUGAGGAGCGAAAGCGUGGGUAGCAAACAGG